UCUAUUUUGCCAUAGGACCACUUCGUACUCUAGGCAGAGACAGAGGCCUGGGGUGUCCAGUUAAAGCCCCUCCGCGUGGAAAGACGAGGUCUAGGAAAAUGGCAGCUCCGACUUAAUCGCUGCAAGAGUUUGUAAAACCAGAGGACCUGGGUUCACUUCCCAGCACCCACAUGGCGGCUUGCAACCUUCCAUGGCUUCAGUUCCGGGGGACCCAAUGCCCUCUUGUGGCCUCUACAGGCCAGGCGCACCCCGUGGUACACAGACAUAAUGCAGAGCCCUUCUUAAAAAAGCCUACAGAACGUAGAAACCAUGGGGACUCUGAGAAGAGCCGUAAGAGACAUUCAAGGAGAAUGGCUGCUGGAAUCGGAGCCUAUGGUUCGAGUCCCCUACACGGCCCAGUGAGCCAUGACAUGAACUGGUGGAGCUGCUGUCUUCAACAGAUCAUGAAGGCUUGAAGAGUCAUCUUAGCGGGGUCCACUGAGAACCCCGAGCUUCAGGGAUCUCCUGAAUCCUCUGGAUUGGGGGAGGGGCAGAGUUUAGAAUUACAUUUGAUUUGACAUGUAGAAAAAAUAA